rnacentral:rRNA from 2 species
UACAGAGGUCCCAAGCGUUGUUCGGAUUCACUGGGCGUAAAGGGUGUGUAGGAGGUCUUGAAAGUCGGGUGUGAAAGCCCACCGCUUAACGGUGGAACUGCAUUCGAUACUGCAGGACUAGAGGAUCGGAGGGGCAAGCGGAAUUCAUGGUGUAGCAGUGAAAUGCGUAGAUAUCAUGAGGAACACCGGUGGCGAAGGCGGCUUGCUGGAAGAUUCCUGACUCUGAAACACGAAAGCCAGGGGAGCAAACGGG